rfam:TPA: Bos taurus chromosome 1, whole genome shotgun sequence.
UCCCUGGUGGCUCAGACGGUAAAGCGUCUGCCUGCAAUGCUGGAGAUCUGGGUUUGAUUCCUGGGUCGGGAA